GCCAAAAAUAAUAAAAAUAAAAAAAGCACUAAAAUUAACCAAAUCGCCAUACCUAGUUAGCCUAGCCCAAAGUAUUUUUUAAUAAAAUGAAGCAUAUUUAAUCUCACGGCUCUCAGUGCAAGUAUUAUUCAUACUUGGCACUAAAAUUAACCAAAUUGCCAUACCUAGUUAGCCUCGCCCAAAGUAUUUUUAAAUAAAAUGAAGCAUAUUUAAUCUCAUGGCUCUCAGUGCAAGUAUUAUUCCUAUUUUGCACUAAAAUUAACCAAAUUGCCAUACCUAGUUAGCCUCGCCCAAAUAUUUUUAAAUAAAAUGAAGCAUAUUUAAUCUCAUGGCUCUUAAUGCAAAUAUUAUUCCUAUUUUGCACUAAAAUUAACCAAAUCGCCAUACCCAGUUAGUCUCACCCAAAGUAUUUUUUAAUAAAAUGAAGCAUAUUUAAUCUCAUGGCUCUCAAUGCAAAUAUUAUUCAUAUUUUGGAGGGGAUUUUGUGCCAAAGAACUUUUUUUCAUGUUUUCAUAUUUACAGUCCCUAGAUUUUCUAAUGUCGUAUUUUUAUAGAUUAUGCAGAAAUACUACAGAUAUUCUGUAACUUAUCAACAGAGUAAAUACACUGUAAUAUAGUAUACAAUACGGUGUAAAACUCACAAACAGCUUCCUGAUGUUGAGGCAGCAUCACAGGGGCUGCUAGGGCACCGUGCCAGUGUACACAGUGAACAGCACAAUCCUGUUCCACGAGUCACAUGUAAUAAGGACAAGAGCCACGGCUGGCUUUCAGACCAAGGGCUUUGGGGAGACAGAUUAGGGCAAGCACGGACGGGGUUUCUAUGAUUACUGCUUUCUAAAAACCACCUCAGUAAUUCUGUAAGCACACUUCCUUUGUAAAGGAAAAGAUUUACCACAUGGAAGAAAAACAAAGUAAAAGGUAAACGUUCCCCUUUAUGCAAGAAAUUUUUCAUUUUGAUUUUUAAAAAAUUAGGUGCUAAAUUUUAAAAAGAACUUAUCUAUCAUAAAACUUUUUCCUAAAAUAUUUAGAGUUCAUUUAUAGUACAAACCAACAAAACAUAUAGGGAACUGGUAGACUUUGAAAAGUAUGGAAAAGAUGUUUUCAUUGUUUAAUAACGCCACACUAAAAAAUUCAGGCAGAAAAUGUUUUCAUUAAGAAUAGGAACUAAGGAGUUCCCGUUGUGGCACAGUGGUUAACGAAUCCGACUAGGAACCAUGAGGUUGCAGGUUCACUCCCUGGCCUUGCUCAGUGGGUUGAGGAUCCGGCGUUGCCUCGAGCUGUGGUGUGGGUUGCAGACACGGCUUGGAUGCCUCGUUGCUGUGGCUGUGGCGCAGGCCAGUGGCUACAGCUCCGAUUAGACCCCUAGCCUGGGAACCUCCAUAUGCUGCAAGAGUAGCCCCAAAAAAGGCAAAAAAAAAAAAAAAAAAAAAAAAA
rnacentral:lncRNA from 1 species